CGUCAGGGGAGAAGAACAAAGGCAGGUUUUCGGGGGUCACCCCUCCACUGGCUUCUAUAAGAACGGCUGGGAACUCUGUCUUUAACACCUUUGCCGCGCUGUGGAGCUCCUGCAGGUGUUGAACCUCAGGUUUAAAGUUGUCCAGCAUGACGAUGUCUGCUCCUGCAGCGGCCGCCUCUCGCCCUUCGGCUAUGGACUGACACUCCACCUCGAUCUUACUGCUGAAGCUGCACACUGACCGCGUCUCCUUCACCGCCUGACAAACAAAACUUUAAAAAUGACAGCAGCCCGUCUCCAAAGCCCUGGAAUAUGAAAAAAAAAGGUCUUGUCUGUGCUUCUUAUUCAAUUAAGUUGAAUCUUAGACUGACAGAAAUAAUAGGAGUCUCCAGAUUGUGAUAGAUUCAGAUUGAUCAUCUUGAGCCUAAAACUGCAAAUAAUUGCAAUUAACUUCCAAAGAGCUACAAAAAAAAAGAAAAAGGUAAGGUUUGUUAAUGGUUUGCAUGUGAUUGACAAGCUGGUGGUCUUCUCUGUUUACAUAAAUUGUAAAUAGUGGAGGAUACACAGACAAGUUUUUUAUUGAGCCCAUAUUCCAAAUAAUGUUUUCCUUUUUUUUUAUUAUUCUUUAGCUAUUUUUACCCCUUACCAUCAUUAUAGAUAAAUUCCACUAGUUUAUAAAUUCCAAGCAGUUUAUUGGGGUAUAAAUUAUUGUUAUUAUAGACAUGUUGAUGUUAAACAAAAGGUGACGGCGUAAAAGUGAGAUUGAAGGUGAAAAUUCCAGUGGUGACAAAAACAGAGAGGACUACGGUGGCCCAGAAGGGUCACAACACAUUAACUUUACACACAACACAUUAACUUUACACACAACACAUU